GAUGAACGCUGGCGGCGUGCCUAAUACAUGCAAGUCGAGCGAACGGACGAGAAGCUUGCUUCUCUGAUGUUAGCGGCGGACGGGUGAGUAACACGUGGAUAACCUACCUAUAAGACUGGGAUAACUUCGGGAAACCGGAGCUAAUACCGGAUAAUAUUUUGAACCGCAUGGUUCAAAAGUGAAAGACGGUCUUGCUGUCACUUAUAGAUGGAUCCGCGCUGCAUUAGCUAGUUGGUAAGGUAACGGCUUACCAAGGCAACGAUGCAUAGCCGACCUGAGAGGGUGAUAGGCGACACUGGAACUGGGACACGGUCAAGACUCCUACGGGAGGCAGCAGUAGGGAAUCUUACGCAACGGGCGAAAGCCUGACGGAGCAAGGCCGCGUGAGUGAUGAAGGUCUUCGGAUCGUAAAACUCUGUUAUUAGGGAAGAACAUAUGUGUAAGUAACUGUGCACAUCUUGACGGUACCUAAUCAGAAAGCCACGGCUAACUACGUG
rnacentral:rRNA from 1 species